CAACUGUUCGACGAAAAAGGAUCUAUAUGACCACUACCAUGUUAAAAAAGGAUCUAUAUGACCACUACGUGCUCAAAAACACUUGGUUUGAUUUUUUGACGUUAUUAAUUAGCAUGACGGGUGGAGAAAAAAUCUUUUUUUCUGUAUACAACCACCCCUCUCUCUCUCUCUCUCUCUCUCUCUCUCUCUUUUAUUGCUAAUGGAAUAUUUUCACAUAUCAUCAUGUAGCCUAUAGUUCUAUUAAUAUCAAGUAAAAUUUUCAACGUAGUAUCUGAAAUGCCUAAGGCACGUACGUCGUAACGGAGGUAAACCACAGCUCACGACAUUUGUACUUUUUUUAGGAUGCAGUAAUUUGUUAGAGCAUUAGGUAUAGUUGAACCAUCAUGUUAAGAAGCAACUCUCACAAUUUUGAAAGGAUUUCCACUUUGUAUGGAAGCAUGGCGUUAUUUCUAACAGUCGUGCACAAUGUGUUUCUGUUAUAUUACGUGGAGAUGUUUGUUACUGUUUACAAAAUUGACAAAACAUCAUUUUGGAUUGGAGAGAUUGCAUUUUUGGUGUGGAAUUCAACGAUGCCCCAAACUACCGCCCCGUCCCCACGCACCGUGUUCCUUGUGAGUAAUUAUUUUCACUAAUCCAGGGACGGGGCCAUGAACUGAACUAUGUCUGCACGCUGCCCCGCCUAGCCUCGGCCACAAAUAAAUAGGGGCGUACUACCAAUUGAUUCGGAUAUGGCGGGGCCCAUCACGCGCCUCCGCCCCCACACACAAAUCGCUUUUAAACUCUUCGGUUCCCCAACCACUACACAAAGCGAGCGGCCCCUCCUAGAUUCAGUUUUAAAAUUUUAAAUCAGUGCACUCAAAUUUUACGUGUUGUGUUUUUUGUAUUUUUUCCUACAGAUUUUGUAUUUUUAUAUUAUAUUUUAUAUACACAACACUAUUUUUAUACACUACCUUGCACUGUCCCACUUUUUGUAAUUAUCACUUUUUACCUUUUAUGCCGCUCGCUGAGCUCCUUGCACGGAUGACCAGACAAACUUUUAUAAAAUUAUAACAUUGUUUUAAUUGUCGCGGGGUAUCAGUGGCGCCCCCUUGCGGCCGUGAAAGCCCUUUUCACCUUAAUUCGCCCCUUAGUCCAAAAUUUUCCCCAUUGCCUGUAAAAGUGCGUUGCCGUCGACUCUAACUCGUCCUUUUUACCGCCUCUCUGUUACUGAACUAUGACCAGCUUGGCUGUUGAAGUCGGCUUUAAUUCGCCGGCUUCACAUUAUAUUUUUUUGUUGGGUAGUCUGUUUUUUUUUUUCAUAUAUAAAACCAUUCGGCUUAAAAUCACCAAUCCCCAUCAUCCUCCCUGGUCACCCAAUGAAACAUCUCUUUUUAGUCAAAUAUUUUUUCGGAUUACCCCUUCCAAAUUGUCAUAUAGCUUAACACCCCGUUUGCCAAGUUGGUCUUUUCCCCAUCCCCUCCUGUCCUUCCGGUAAUCCCAUAACAUUUUAUUCUUAAUUCGGCCCCAUAAGUAGUGCAAUCUUAAGACGAAGUCCCCAGAAGCCCGGUCCCCCCCCCCCCUUCUUUGUCAUGGACCGGGCCAGCCCCCUAUUACUUACAACAUACCACUAUUUUAUUUUUUCUUUUAUUAGUAUUUAUUUAUAUUGCCGCCCAACUGCCGUGUCGUGGCGCAGGGGGUUCCCUCUGUCGGCCCAGUGGACGACCGUCUAAAAAAACAGGCACAGGCAGCAGGCAUUUAUCACCCGGUACCUCCGGGUACCGGAGGCUGGUUUUCAGCGCACUGUACGUGAUGGCCAAUUUUAUUUAUUGCUUUUUAUCCGCGUCGUGGUGUUUGCGUGGAUGCAUUAAUAAAAGAUGAACCCCACUAACGUGUUCAAAAAUGUGGCCGUUGAAUAAUUCAAGUGCGGUUCUUGUUCAGUAAAUAAUCGCGAUUCUAGCGCGAAAAAAUGUAUAGCGCCACCAAAGUACAGCC